rnacentral:rRNA from 1 species
GUCCACGCCAUAAACGAUGAAUACUAGCCGCUUGGCGCAUAAAAGUGCUGGGUGGCGUAGCUAACGCGAUAAGUAUUCCGCCUGGGGAGUACGGCCGCAAGGUUAAAACUCAAAGGAAUUGACGGGGGCCCGCACAAGCGGUGGAGCAUGUGGUUUAAUUCGAUGCAACGCGAAGAACCUUACCUACUCUUGACAUCCUUGGAAUCUCGCAGAGAUGUGAGAGUGCCGAAAGGAACCAAGUGACAGGUGCUGCAUGGCUGUCGU